UGAAAGACCUGUUCCUCUAGCCACCGGAAGUGACGCCAGCAGACAGCGCUCAACUGUCAGUCCCCACAGAGACUGCUUUGGCUGAAGAGAGUUGGUUACUGGCUGGUACGUGGGUAUAAAGUCCCAGCCUCCCAGCCCAAUUUAGGAUAACUCUACAGGGCCAUCCCAGCUCCAGAAGUCCCUGUUGAUUGGCUGAGGCCUCCCUUAAGGACUGCAGCAAAGCGCAGCUUCUCCCACUGCCCAGUCUUGCUUCUUUUACUUCCUUUCCAGAGGGGGACCCUGGAGGUACGCACAAACAUCAGCAGAGAGGAUGCUUCAAGUCUCACUGGAUUCCUUACAGCUGGGGGAGGAGUGAGCAUGAGCCAGAUGAGACCUGCACCAGGUGGAAUCAAGGAAAUUUCCAGCUAUGAGGGGGAGGGGGUCUCUGAAGAAUUUACAAAAUCAGCUAUGAAAAAAGGGUGAGCUUUAGCCAUUUGCCAAGUCCAAAGAGCACCAACAUCCAGCUCACAGCAGUGUCAAUCAAAUAAAGCCUUUCCUGCCCCCUCUCCCAGGGGUCUGAACCUGGAGAGGUUAGAAACCCGAGUUAGCAGUCGGAAGGGCUAGAACACAAGAUAGGCUAAGGGAGAAGAUGCCAACUCCACCUUUCCCUGACUUUAAAGUCUAAAACAGCUCCCCCAUCUCUUUUCAUUUUUCUUAUCACCUAAAAUCUCACCCUUCCCCCAAAUACUGUAACACUCUAUCUUUCCCAUUAUUUGGUGAGAUGCCCCACAGUUCCUCUGAUGUGUGGCCUCCAACGUCCCUUGCGGCAAAAAGUGAAAAGACCUCACCUUGUCUAAGGAUUGUCUCUGGUGGUCUCAGGCUGUAAAGCUUAAAGGUCUUGGCUGGUACUGUCCUGCUGGUCAUUCCAACUACAUGCAAACUUGGAGACACACAGUGAGAGGCACGUAGCAGACGCUCAAUACAUUUCUCAGAUUUCCCAAUUGCCUUCGUGGAGCGGGUGGGUCCCAAGCAGCAGCCGCGCAACUCGCCCCGCCCCAUUCCGCUGCCCCGCCCACCCCGUCCGGCUGC
rnacentral:lncRNA from 1 species